CUGGUUGAUCCUGCCGGACCCCACUGCUAUCGGGAUAGGACUAAGACAUGCUAGUCGAGUGGCUCAGCCAAUACGAGCCACGGCAUACAGCUCAGUAACACGUGGCUAAUCUGCCCUUAGGACGAGAACAACCCCGGGAAACUGGGGCUAACUCUCGAUAGGCGAAGAACUCUGGAAUGAGUCUUCACCUAAAUAGUUCGGCGUUAUGCUCGUUGGACCGCCUAAGGAUGAGGCCGCGACCGAUCAGGUUGUUGGUGAGGUAAUGGCUCACCAAGCCUUUAACCGGUGCGGGCCGUGAGAGCGGGAGCCCGGAGAUGGGCACUGAGACAAGGGCCCAGGCCCUACGGGGCGCAGCAGUCGCGAAAACUUUGCAAUACACGAAAGUGUGACAGGGCUAUCCCGAGUGCCAUCCGCUGAGGAAGGCUUUUACCCAGUCUAGAAAGCUGGGGGAAUAAGGAGAGGGCAAGUCUGGUGUCAGCCGCCGCGGUAAUACCAGCUCUCCGAGUGGUGUGGAUGUUUAUUGGGCCUAAAGCAUCCGUAGCUGGCUAAGUUAGUCCCUUGUUAAAUCCACCGAAUUAAUCGUUGGAUCGCGGGGGAUACUGCUUGGCUAGGGGACGAGAGAGGCAGACGGUAUUUUCGGGGUAGGGGUGAAAUCCUAUAAUCCCGGGAAGACCACCAGUGGCGAAGGCUGUCUGCUAGAACGCGCCCGACGGUGAGGGAUGAAAGCUGGGGGAGCGAACCGGAUUAGAUACCCGGGUAGUCCCAGCUGUAAACGAUGCAGGCUAGGUGUUUGGACGGCCACGUGCCGUUCUAGUGCCGCAGGGAAGCUGUUAAGCCUGCCGCCUGGGGAGUACGAUCGCGAGAUUGAAACUUAAAGGAAUUGGCGGGGGAGCAC
rnacentral:rRNA from 1 species